AUACUUACCUGGCAGGGGAGAUACCAUGAUCACGAAGGUGGUUCUCCCAGGGCGAGGCUCAUCCAUUGCACUCCGGCUGUGCUGACCCCUGCGAUUUCCCCAAAUGCGGGAAACUCGACUGCAUAAUUUCUGGUAGUGGGGGACUGCGUUCACGCUUUCCCCUG
rnacentral:snRNA from 1 species